AUUGAACGCUGGCGGCAGGCCUAACACAUGCAAGUCGAGCGGAUGACGGGAGCUUGCUCCUUGAUUCAGCGGCGGACGGGUGAGUAAUGCCUAGGAAUCUGCCUGGUAGUGGGGGACAACGUUUCGAAAGGAACGCUAAUGCCGCAUACGUCCUACGGGAGAAAGCAGAGGACCUUCGGGCCUUGCGCUAUCAGAUGAGCCUAGGUCGGAUUAGCUAGUUGGUGAGGUAAUGGCUCACCAAGGCGACGAUCCGUAACUGGUCUGAGAGGAUGAUCAGUCACACUGGAACUGAGACACGGUCCAGACUCCUACGGGAGGUAGCAGUGGGGAAUAUUGGACAAUGGGCGAAAGCCUGAUCCAGCCAUGCCGCGUGUGUGAAGAAGGUCUUCGGAUUGUAAAGCACUUUAAGUUGGGAGGAAGGGUUGUAGAUUAAUACUCUGCAAUUUUGACGUUACCGACAGAAUAAGCACCGGCUAACUCUGUGCCAGCCGCCGCCGUAAAAC
rnacentral:rRNA from 1 species